rnacentral:rRNA from 1 species
AUUGAACGCUGGCGGCAUGCUUUACACAUGCAAGUCGAACGGUAACAGGUUAAGCUGACGAGUGGCGAACGGGUGAGUAAUGCAUCGGAACGUGCCCAGUCGUGGGGGAUAACGCAGCGAAAGCUGUGCUAAUACCGCAUACGAUCUAUGGAUGAAAGCGGGGGACCGUAAGGCCUCGCGCGAUUGGAGCGGCCGAUGUCAGAUUAGCUAGUUGGUGGGGUAAAGGCCCACCAAGGCGACGAUCUGUAGCUGGUCUGAGAGGACGACCAGCCACACUGGAACUGAGACACGGUCCAGACUCCUACGGGAGGCAGCAGUGGGGAAUUUUGGACAAUGGGCGCAAGCCUGAUCCAGCAAUGCCGCGUGCAGGAAGAAGGCCUUCGGGUUGUAAACUGCUUUUGUACGGAGCGAAAAGGCUCUCUCUAAUACAGGGGGCUCAUGACGGUACCGUAAGAAUAAGCACCGGCUAACUACGUGCCAGCAGCCG